rnacentral:ncRNA from 1 species
CACAAAGGUUUGGUCCUAGCCUUGAAGUCAAUUACUACUAAAUAUACACAUGCAAGUCUCCGCCCCCCUGUGAAAACGCCCUUAAACCCCCUUUUAGGGAUAAGGAGCCGGUAUCAGGCACAAUAAUCUGCCCAAAACACCUAGCUUUGCCACACCCACAAGGGUAUUCAGCAGUGAUUAAUAUUGAAUAUCAGCGAAAGCUCGAUUCAGUUAAAGUAUAAAGAGCCGGCUAAUCUGGUGCCAGCCGCCGCGGUUACACCAUGAGGCUCAAAUUGACCCCCUACCGGCGUAAAGCGUGAUUAAAGCUACCAAUAAUUAGAGUCAAACUAAAAUUAAGCUGUGACACGCUUAUUGUUAAGGAAGCCCAAACACGAAAGUUACCCUAAUUUAACCAACUUGAACUCACGACAACUGAGAAACAAACUGGGAUUAGAUACCCCACUAUGCUCAGUCGUAAACUUUANNNNNNNNNNNNNNNNNNNNNNNNNNCGAGCUAAGCUUAAAACCCAAGGGACUUGACGGUACCCCAUAUCCCCCUAGAGGAGCCUGUCCAAUAAUCGAUAACCCACGUUUAACCUCACCAUUCCUAGUUACUCAGCCUGUAUACCUCCGUCGCCAGCUUACCUCGUGAGCGCUAACCUUAGUGAGCACAAUAUUUUCAAUAACACGUCAGGUCAAGGUGCAGCAAAUGUAAUGGAAAGAGAUGGGCUACACUUUCUAAAUUAGAAGAAACGGAAAACUUUAUGAAACCUAGUCAGAAGGCGGAUUUAGUAGUAAAAUAAGGUCAUUAUACUCAUUUUAACUCGGCACUGGGGUGUGUACACACCGCCCGUCACCCUCUUCAAAGCUAUCACCUAGUCUUUAACAAACUAAAGCAUAAUAGAAGAGGCAAGUCGUAACAUGGUAAGUAUACCGGAAGGUAUGCUUGGAUAACGCAAUGUAGCUUAA